rnacentral:misc_RNA from 1 species
ACCCCACCUUCACAUCAAGCAGUACACCGUCGUGUCCCCGAUCCAGCCACACGAGUCGACACUCGACACAGGCCCGCGAUCCCCUCCCCCUCUUCCUUCUCCGGAUUCGCGGCGAUCUAGCCGGCGGCGGGCGGCGCAGCGAUGGCGGGGCAAAACCAGCGGCUCAACGUCGUGCCGACGGUGACGAUGCUCGGCGUCAUGAAGGCGCGGCUCGUCGGCGCCACCCGCGGUCACGCGCUGUUGAAGAAGAAGUCCGACGCGCUCACGGUCCAGUUCCGCGCCAUCCUCAAGAAGAUCGUCGCCGCCAAGGAGUCCAUGGGCGAGACGAUGCGCGCCUCCUCCUUCUCCCUCGCCGAGGCCAAGUACGUCGCCGGCGACGGCGUCCGUCACGUCGUCCUCCAGUCCAUCCGCGCCGCCUCCGUCCGCGUUCGAUCUCACCAGGAGAAUGUCGCCGGGGUCAAGCUCCCGAAGUUCACUCACUUCGUCGACCCCGCCGCGGCAUCCGGGGGGCCCUCCAACGCGUCUCCGAGCCUUACGGGCCUCGCCCGCGGCGGGCAGCAGGUCGCCGCCUGCCGCGCCGCGCACGUCAAGGCCAUCGAGGUGCUCGUCGAGCUCGCCUCGCUCCAGACCUCCUUCCUCACGCUCGACGAGGCCAUCAAGACCACCAACCGCCGCGUCAACGCGCUCGAGAAUGUCGUGAAGCCCAGGAUCGAGAACACCAUCAGCUACAUCAAGGGGGAGCUCGACGAACUCGAGCGCGAGGACUUUUUCAGGCUCAAGAAGAUCCAGGGCUACAAGAAGAGGGAGAUCGAGCGCCAGAUGGCCAACGCCAGGCUUUUCGCAGAGGAACAGCUCGCCGAGGAUCUCGCGCUCAAGAGGGGCAUCUCCGUGGGGGCUGCGGCAAAUCUGCUGGCUGCUGGAGGGGAGAAGGACGACGACAUCAUCUUUUGAUCGCCUCUUUCCAUGCUCAUCCAAUCAUUCAAUCGCCCUGGAAACAAUAAGUUGAUGCUGGAGCUCCAGAACUGUACCUGUUUAUAGAGUGAUGGCGGGUUUUUUUUUCAGUGAGUAGUCUGGUGCCUGGUCAUCCAAGACCGAUGAAUAAUCUGUACUUGUUGGGGACUAAAGAUUGCCAAUGAACUUUAGCACGCAGUGGUUAUGUGCAGCUGGUGUAGUAAAUUCAAUUGUGCUCUGUUUUCCCUGUUUGUGUUCAUUAUAGUUGUAUUUAUAUUUAUUUGCGGGGUGUGCGCGGAUUGCUGUACUACACCUACUCUGAAGUCGCG